CAGCGCUCUGCGAGUGUUUAUAGCCCUGUGACUUUAACACUUCAUGACUGAGAGCUGCUGCUCAGCGACUUCACCCACAGCAACCAUGAGUUUGAUCAGCGUCUUCAUCUGCACACUGGCCCUCUGCGCUCGAGGAUCCAGAGGUCAGGUGACUGUGACUCAGAGUCCUGCAGUGAAAUCAGUUUCUCCAGGAGGCACACUCACCAUCAGCUGUAAAACCAGUACUCCUGUUUUCUUUGCUAGUAAUUUUGAUUCUUUGUACUGGUAUCAGCAAAAACCUGGAGAAGCUCCUAAACUCCUGAUCUAUGCUGCUAACAGUAGAGAAUCAGGUGUUCCAGAUCGUUUCAGUGGCAGUGGGUAUGCAACUGAUUUCACUCUGACCAUCAGUGGAGUCCAGACUGAAGAUGUUGGAGAUUAUUACUGUCAGAGUGUUCAUGAGAUCAGUAGUAGCUACGUGUUCACUUUUGGUGGAGGAACCAAACUCAUCAUCUCCGGUCCCACGGUGAAGCCCUCCGUGUCUCUGCUCCCUCCCUCCUCUCUGCAGCUGUCUGAGGGAUCGGCCUCGCUGCUCUGCCUGCUGUCUGCCUACUCUCCACAGGGGGCGCUGGUGAGCUGGACGGUGGACGGCUCAGAGGUGAAGGACGGGGUUCUGACCAGCGCGGAAGAACAGAAGAAGGACGGUUACACACGCAGCAGCACCCUGACCCUCAGCAAAGCACUCUGGGAAAAGGGGGAGGAGUUUGUCUGUAAGGUCUCCCAUGACGGCGUCAAUCAUCCGGUCACGUUCAGAAAGAGCCAGUGUGAAGGCUAACAGCUCCAAGAUAGAAUUUAACACUGAGCUGCUUACACAUCCAUCUACAAUAGAGUUUCAAUUCUACACAAUGCUGACAUUUCUGUCUUUACUCUCUUCACUGUCCUGUUGCUCUUCCUGUAGUUUUGCUCUGCUGAAAUAAAGCUUGAUUUUGGA